rnacentral:rRNA from 1 species
GAUGAACGCUGGCGGCGUGCCUAAUACAUGCAAGUCGAGCGAACAGACGAGGAGCUUGCUCCUCUGACGUUAGCGGCGGACGGGUGAGUAACACGUGGAUAACCUACCUAUAAGACUGGGAUAACUUCGGGAAACCGGAGCUAAUACCGGAUAAUAUAUUGAACCGCAUGGUUCAAUAGUGAAAGACGGCUUUGCUGUCACUUAUAGAUGGAUCCGCGCCGCAUUAGCUAGUUGGUAAGGUAACGGCUUACCAAGGCAACAAUGCGUAGCCGACCUGAGAGGGUGAUCGGCCACACUGGAACUGAGACACGGUCCAGACUCCUACGGGAGGCAGCAGUAGGGAAUCUUCCGCAAUGGGCGAAAGCCUGACGGAGCAACGCCGCGUGAGUGAUGAAGGUCUUCGGAUCGUAAAACUCUGUUAUUAGGGAAGAACAAAUGUGUAAGUAACUAUGCACGUCUUGACGGUACCUAAUCAGAAAGCCACGGCUAACUACGUG